rnacentral:rRNA from 1 species
UACGGAGGGGGCGAGCGUUGUUCGGAGUGACUGGGCGUAAAGAGCACGUAGGCGGUGUUGUAAGUCAUUAGUCAAAGACUAGAGCUCAACUUUAGUAAGGCUAGUGAUACUAUAAUACUAGAGUAUCAGAGAGGAUUGCAGAAUUCCUGGUGUAGCGGUGAAAUGCGUAGAUAUCAGGAGGAAUACCGUUAGCGAAGGCAGCAUGCCGGCUCCACACUGACGCUGAGGCACGAAAGCGUGGGUAUCGAACAGG